rnacentral:rRNA from 1 species
AUGAGCAACCAUAACUACCGCACAUGUCCACUCCACAUAGAUGCCACUGUCAACAAGAACAAGCAGAUUGGAGCCACCCAGCUUUCUACCAAUGGAGACAACACACGUGACAAGCGGAUGCUGGAGAAGGCUGGUUUGGAAAUCAACCCCAACAACUUCAUCGACAUGCAGCGCAAGCGGAAAGAUCCAAAGACCGACAAAUACUACGACUCCUUGGCUGAUGUUGGAGGCGGCGUCAUCCACCCAUUCUAUGAAGGCAUGAAGAAGAAGAUGAACAGGGAAGACCACAAACUGUGGGGGAACAGCCCGCUGCCAGACAACCUCAUCACGUACGCACGAAUAGAUGCAUACGCAAUGUACAAGUCAUGGAAGACAAUCAACAACAUCGUGACUGGUUGGGAUAGUUCAAAAGAGCAGGAGGCUGACCCAUACUACCACUGCAACUUCGCGGAUGAAGAUGCAUGA